AUUGAACGCUGGCGGCAGGCCUAACACAUGCAAGUCGAACGAGUGGCGGACGGGUGAGUAAUGUCUGGGAAACUGCCUGAUGGAGGGGGAUAACUACUGGAAACGGUAGCUAAUACCGCAUACCAUCAGAUGUGCCCAGAUUGGAUUAGCUAGUAGGUGGGGUAAUGGCUCACCUAGGCGACGAUCCCUAGCUGGUCUGAGAGGAUGACCAGCGACGCUGGAACUGAGACACGGUCCAGACGCCUACGGGAGGCAGCAGUGGGGAGUAGUGCACAAUUGGCGCACGCCUGGUUCAGCCAUGCCGCGUGUGUGAAGCCGGCCUUCGGGUUGUACAGCACUUUCAGCGGUGAGGCGUUACCCGCAGAAGAAGCACCGGCUAACUCCGUGCCAGCCGCCGCGGUAAUUC
rnacentral:rRNA from 1 species